CUACCGAGCUUAGAGAUAGCUGGUUAUUUAGGAAAAGGAUCUAAGUCCUACCUUAAGUUCCACAGUAACUACCAUUACAUCAAUGAACCUAAGAGCUAUUCAAAUAAGGUACAGCCUAUUUGAAACAGGAUACAACCUAAACCACAGGGUAAUGUAAUAUACACUGUGACCAAGUGGGCCUAAGAGCAGCCACCUUUCAAAAAGCGUUAAAGCUUAGUCACUAAUUUUCUUAAAUUCCAAUAAUUUAUCAAAACCCUUUUUYAGUACUAAAUGACUCCAUAACCUUAUGGAAAACCAUAUGCUAGAACUAGUAACAAGAAGAAGACCUUCUCCAAAAUACAAGUGUGAGCCGAAAUGAACAACUCACCGGCAUUUAACGUAAAUGAGCCCACAGUAGCAACCAAACAAGAAAACCCUACUCAUUUCUACGUCAACCUUACACCAGUGUAUUUCUGGAAAGAUUAAAAGAAGAGGAAGGAACUCGGCAAAUUAUUAACUCCGCCUGUUUACCAAAAACAUCGCCUCUUGACAAAAUAUAAGAGGUCCAGCCUGCCCAGUGACAAAGUUAAACGGCCGCGGUACCCUAACCGUGCGAAGGUAGCGCAAUCACUUGUUCUUUAAAUAAGGACUAGUAUGAACGGCAUCACGAGAGUUAUACUGUCUCCCUCUUUCAAUCAGUGAAACUGACCUCCCCGUGAAGAGGCGGGGAUAUAAUUAUAAGACGAGAAGACCCCAUGGAGCUUUAA
rnacentral:rRNA from 1 species